AGAGCGAACGCUGGCGGCAGGCCUAACACAUGCAAGUCGAGCGCCCCGCAAGGGGAGCGGCAGACGGGAGAGUAACACGUGGGAACGUACCCUUUGGUUCGGAACAACACAGGGAAACUUGUGCUAAUACCGGAUAAGCCCUUACGGGGAAAGAUUUAUUGCCAAAGGAUCGGCCCGCGUCUGAUUAGCUUGUUGGUGAGGUAACGGCUCACCAAGGCUACGAUCAGUAGCUGGUCUGAGAGGAUGAUCAGCCUCACUGGGACUGAGACACGGCCCAGACUCCUACGGGAGGCAGCAGUGGGGAAUAUUGGACAAUGGGCGCAAGCCUGAUCCAGCCAUGCCGCGUGAGUGAUGAAGGCCCUAGGGUUGUAAAGCUCUUUGUGCGGGAAGAUAAUGACGGUACCGCAAGAUAAGCCCGGCUAACUUCGUGCCAGCAGCCGC
rnacentral:rRNA from 1 species